UUUCUCAAUGGGCGCAAGCUGAAGGAGCGACGCCGCGUGGAGGAUGAAGGUCUUCGGAUCGUAAACUCCUGUCAUUUGGGAACAAAACUUCGGUUUAACUGACCGGAGCUUGAUAGUACCAGAAGAGGAAGGGACGGCUAACUCUGUGCCAGCAGCCGCGGUAAUACAGAGGUCUCAACCGUUGUUCGGAUUCAUUGGGCGUAAAGGGUGCGUAGGCGGUCGCGCAAGUCGGAUGUGAAAUCUCAGGGCUCAACCCUGAAACUGCAUUCGAUACUGCGCGGCUAGAGUGCUGGAGGGGAGACUGGAAUUHACGGUGUAGCAGUGAAAUGCGUAGAUAUCGUAAGGAAGACCAGUGGCGAAGGCGAGUCUCUGGACAGCAACUGACGCUGAGGCACGAAGGCCAGGGGAGCAAACGGGAUUAGAUACCCCGGUAGUCCUGGCAGUAAACGGUGCACGUUUGGUGUAAGCGGAUUCGACCCCGCUUGUGCCGGAGCUAACGCGUUAAACGUGCCGCCUGGGAAGUACGGUCGCAAGAUUAAAACUCAAAGAAAUUGACGGGGGCCCGCACAAGCGGUGGAGUAUGUGGCUUAAUUCGAUGCAACGCGAAGAACCUUACCAGGGUUUGACAUGUAUUGUAACCCCAGUGAAAGCUGGGUAGCUGGGUUAAACCAGCGCUUUACACAGGUGCUGCAUGGCUGUCGUCAGCUCGUGUCGUGAGAUGUUGGGUUAAGUCCCGCAACGAGCGCAACCCCUGUGUCCUGCUGCCACUCCUUCAUUGGAAGCACUCUGGACAGACUGCCCUGUGAAACGGGGAGGAAGGUGGGGAUGACGUCAAGUCAGCAUGGCCCUUACACCCUGGGCUGCACACGUACUACAAUGCUCAGUACAAUACGAGCCGAAGCCGCGAGGCAGAGGAAAUCUCGAAAACUGAGCCCAAUUCGGAUCGCAGGCUGCAACUCGCCUGCGUGAAGCCGGAAUCGCU
rnacentral:rRNA from 1 species